CGAGUGGCGGACGGGGUAGUAAUGUCUGGGAAACGGCCCGAUGGAGGGGGAUAACUACUGGAAACGGUAGCUAAUACCGCAUAACGUCGCAAGACCAAAGAGGGGGACCUUCGGGCCUCUUGCCAUCGGAUGUGCCCAGAUGGGAUUAGCUAGUAGGUGGGGUAACGGCUCACCUAGGCGACGAUCCCUAGCUGGUCUAAGAGGAUGACCAGCCACACUGGAACUGAGACACGGUCCAG
rnacentral:rRNA from 1 species